rnacentral:rRNA from 1 species
AUUGAACGCUGGCGGCAGGCUUAACACAUGCAAGUCGAGCGAGCGGCGGACGGGUGAGUAAUGUAUGGGAAACUGCCUGAUGGAGGGGGAUAACUACUGGAAACGGUAGCUACUACAGCAUACCAUCAGAUGUGCCCAGAUGGGAUUAGCUAGUAGUGGGGGUAAUGGCUCACCUAGGCGACGAUCCCUAGCGGGUCUGAGAGGAUGACCAGCAACACGGGAACGGGGACACGGCCCAGACGCCUACGGGAGGCAGCAGUGGGGAAUAUUGCACAAUGGGAGCAAGCCUGAUGAAGCCAGGCCGCGUGGGUGAAGAAGGCUUUCGGGUUGUAAAGCACUUUCAGCGAGGAGGCGUUACUCGCAGAAGAAGCACCGGCUAACUCCGUGCCAGCAGCCGCGGUAAUAC